rnacentral:rRNA from 1 species
UAGGGAAUAUUGGUCAAUGGAUGGAAGUCUGAACCAGCCAUGCCGCGUGCAGGAAGAAGGCCUUCUGGGUUGUAAACUGCUUUUGCCUGGGGCUAAAAGGCCCAUGCGUGGGAAAUUGAAAGUACCUGGUGAAUAAGCCACGGCUAACUACGUGCCAGCAGCCGCGGUAAUACGUAGGUGGCAAGCGUUGUCCGGAUUUAUUGGGUUUAAAGGGUGCGUAGGCGGCUUAUUAAGUCAGUGGUGAAAUAUCGCAGCUUAACUGUGAGGGUGCCAUUGAUACUGAUGAGCUUGAGUACAGAUGAGGUAGGCGGAAUUGACGGUGUAGCGGUGAAAUGCAUAGAUAUCGUCAAGAACACCUAUAGCGAAGGCAGCUUACUAAGCUGUAACUGACGCUGAGGCACGAAAGUGUGGGGAUCAAACAGGAUUAGAUACCCUGGUAGUCCACACUGUAAACGUUGAUAACUCGCUG